rnacentral:rRNA from 1 species
AGAGGAUGAUCAUGGCUCAGAUUGAACGCUGGCGGCAGGCCUAACACAUGCAAGUCGGGCGAGAAAGCACUUCGGUGUGAGUAGAGAAGCACUUCGGGGUGAGUAGAGCGGCGGACGGGUGAGUAACGCGUAGGAAUUUGCCCAGUAGUGGGGGACAACAUGUGGAAACGCAUGCUAAUACCGCAUACGCCCUACGGGGGAAAGCAGGGGAUCUUCGGACCUUGCGCUAUUGGAGAAGCCUGCGUCGGAUUAGCUAGUUGGUGGGGUAAAGGCCUACCAAGGCGACGAUCCGUAGAAGGUCUGAGAGGAUGAUCCGCAACACUGGGAAUGAAACCAGGACAAGCCUACUAAAGGCGGCAGCAGUGCGGAAUAUUGGACAAUGGGCGAAAGAACCAUGAUCCCAUGCCGCGUGUGUGAAGAAGGCCUUAGGGUUGUAAAGGACUUUCAGUAGGGAGGAAAGGUUAGUCGUUCGUAACGGCUAAUCGUGACGUUACCUACAUAAGAAGCACCGGCUAAUUCAGUGCCAGCAGCCGCGGUAAUACUGAAGGUGCAAGCGUUAAUCGGAAUUACUGGGCGUAAAGCGCGCGUAGGCGGUUUGGUCAGUCAGAUGUGAAAGCCCCGGGCUUAACCUGGGAACUGCAUUUGAUACUGCCAAACUAGAGUAUGUUAGAGGGAAGUGGAAUUUCUGGUGUAGCGGUGAAAUGCGUAGAUAUCAGAAGGAACAUCAAUGGCGAAGGCAACUUCCUGGGACAAUACUGACACUGAGGUGCGAAAGCGUGGGGAGCAAACAGGAUUAGAUACCCUGGUAGUCCACGCCGUAAACGAUGUCUACUAGCCGUUGGGAGACUUGAUCUCUUAGUGGCGCAGCUAACGCAAUAAGUAGACCGCCUGGGGAGUACGGCCGCAAGGUUAAAACUCAAAUGAAUUGACGGGGGCCCGCACAAGCGGUGGAGCAUGUGGUUUAAUUCGAUGCAACGCGAAGAACCUUACCUGGUCUUGACAUCCUACGAACUUUCCAGAGAUGGAUUGGUGCCUUCGGGAACGUAGUGACAGGUGCUGCAUGGCUGUCGUCAGCUCGUGUUGUGAAAUGUUGGGUUAAGUCCCGUAACGAGCGCAACCCUUAUCCUUAUUUGCCAGCACGUAAUGGUGGGAACUCUAAACACACCCGGUGACAAACCGGAGGAAGGUGGGGACGAAGUCAAGUCAUCAUGGCACUUACGACCAGGGAUAAACAAGUGCUACAAUCGACAGUACAGAGGGUUGCCAAGCCGCGAGGUGGAGCUAAUCCCAGAAAACCGUUCGUAGUCCGGAUUGGAGUCUGCAACUCGACUCCAUGAAGUCGGAAUCGCUAGUAAUCGUGAAUCAGAAUGCUACGGUGAAUACGUUCCCGGGCCUUGUACACACCGCCCGUCACACCAUGGGAGUGGAUUGCACCGUGGGGCAAAAUGUUAACCUUCGGGAAGCAUUUGACCACGGUAUAGUCAGCGACUGGGGUGAAGUCGUAACAAGGUAACC